UUUCAGCUAUUGGACAAGACUCCCGUUUACGAUACUCAUAAAUUCGCUGUCAUUUCCUUCUCAAAGGCCAGCCAAUUGGAAAGUGAGUACGAGAUGUACAGUGAAGAUCGUGGAGCAUCAACAGAUUAUUUCAGUUUUUUGACCCGUUUGGGAAAGUU
rnacentral:ribozyme from 1 species